rnacentral:rRNA from 1 species
AGUGAACGCUGGCGGUAGGCCUAACACAUGCAAGUCGAACGGCAGCACAGUAAGAGCUUGCUCUUACGGGUGGCGAGUGGCGGACGGGUGAGGAAUACAUCGGAAUCUACUUUGUCGUGGGGGAUAACGUAGGGAAACUUACGCUAAUACCGCAUACGACCUACGGGUGAAAUCAGGGGAUCUUCGGACAUUGCGUGAUCCAAUGAGCCGAUGUCGGAUUAGCUAGUUGGCGGGGUAAAGGCCCACCAAGGCGACGAUCCGUAGCUGGUCUGAGAGGAUGAUCAGCCACACUGGAACUGAGACACGGUCCAGACUCCUACGGGAGGCAGCAGUGGGGAAUAUUGGACAAUGGGCGCAAGCCUGAUCCAGCCAUACCGCGUGGGUGAAGAAGGCCUUCGGAUUGUAAAGCCCUUUUGUUGGGAAAGAAAAGCAGCAGGUUAAUACCCCGCUGUUCUGACGGUACCCAAAGAAUAAGCACCGGCUAACUUCGUG